ACUUGGAAUUAAAAUUUAGCUCUAAACUGCAGACACUCCUGUUUUUUUUAACUCUUUAAACAAACAGAUAUCUGGUAUGGUUUAAGGACCACUCAGUCCAACCUAUCUGUGAACAAUGGCAUUUAAAAUAGCAGAAACAUGAGAGUCAGAGAAAUAGUAAUCCUCUUGUUUAUGCCUGUCUCCAGGAUGGUUACCAGAACCCAGGUGUUGCUCCCCUAAUGAGAUUCUCCUGCUCUUGGGCUCGUUUAUUCCUAGGAAACCCUUAGGAAGGAGGAGGUGCUCCCUCUGCAAAGUUCCCUACACACCUGUUGCUAAGUGACAGCCACACUGAAUCUCAGGGAAUUUGUUCUGAAGGUCAGAGCAUGAAAUCAUCAGCUGUUACACAAUUCAACAGCCAUCAUCUCCUGCCCACCAACACCAAAGGGGGUACUUCAGAUGUAGACUGGCAUCACUGAACCAUGUCUCUUCCUAUCUGUCCACUUAAGAUUCAAAAGUCAACGUGGGGCCUCCUGCUUCUAAAGAACACACCAAACUACUUCUUUCCUUACUUCGAAAGAUCACGCUCAACCCCUCCUGCAAAUUAUGGGAAGAUGCAAAGCAUGGAAAGGGGGGUACUUGAUCCCGCCACUUUCUUCACCUGCCCAUCCCCAGUGAAACCCAAGCACUUCUGCUUUGCAUGGUUGUCUGAAAAGCCUGCAUUAACCUGCAGGCUUGCAGUCUGGGUGCAGCGAGGACACCCACACCCAGGCAUGCUCAGCACGGUUUGCACAACCCCUGCAGGCUGGCACUGUGCAGGCUUUGGAAGUGACAGCUUUACCGAAACAUGCUCGACCCCUCUCCCCAGACAGGUUCGGUCUUCCCCACCGAGACAGGCUGCAGCCCUUGGUUUCCAACUGACAGGUCACUGGGCAGGGGGCUGGCAGGCAGUCCUGGCUGGCAGGAUCUCCUGCUUCCCUUUCCUUUAUGCAAGCGACCAACUCCGGGCCCUGCCCUCCGCCUGCCCAAGUGACGGGAGUGACAACGUCUCCUGCUGCUGCUUUGCAGCCCGGCUCCCUGCGUCGCUCCACAUCAUCUUCUCCUGGCCAAUGACCCGAGAAGCGCCUGUGAUAGAGCCCUACCUCGAAUGCCCUCUUCCCAGUUGUAGCUAA
rnacentral:lncRNA from 1 species